rnacentral:misc_RNA from 1 species
GAUGAAGAACGCAGCGAAAUGCGAUACGUAAUGUGAAUUGCAGAAUUCCGUGAAUCAUCGAAUCUUUGAACGCACAUUGCGCCCGCCAGCAUUCUGGCGGGCAUGCCUGUUCGAGCGUCAUUUCAACCCUCGACGUCCCCUGGGACGUCGGCCUUGGGGACCGGCAGCACCCCGCCGGCCCUGAAAUGGAGUGGCGGCCCGUCCGCGGCGACCUCUGCGCAGUACAACCACUCGCACCGGGAACCCGACGCGGCCCGCCGUGAAACCCCCAACCUCUGAACGUUGACCUCGGAUCAGGUAGGACUACCCGCUGAACUUAAGCAUAUCAAUAAGCGGAGGA